rnacentral:misc_RNA from 1 species
UCCUGGUUAACCCAGGCAGUCUCGUUAGAGUUCCCAGCUUUACCUGUUGGCAACUAACGAUAAGGGUUGCGCUCGUUGCGGGACUUAACCCAACACCUCACGGCCCGAGCUGACGACAGCCAUGCAGCACCUGUGCAGCGGCCCCGAAGAGCGCAUUCAUCUCUGAAUGCUUCCACUGCAUGUCAAGCCUGGGUAAGGUUCUUCGCGUUGCAUCGAAUUAAACCACAUGCUCCACUGCUUGUGCGGGUCCCCGUCAAUUCUUUUGAGUUUCACCCUUGCGAGCGUACUCCCCAGGCGGUAUACUUAUCGCGUUAGCUUCGACACAACUGGGGUUGAGUCCAGUUACAUCAAGUAUACAUCGUUUACGGCAAGGACUAC